GUGGAGAUGCUUGGAAAGAUGCGCACUUGACAUUGUGCACAUGGUGAAGAUGGCUUGAUCGUUGGCCCGCAGAAGUGCAUUGACAGCUGCAGGAAACUGCACGAGAAUCAAGUGCUACCACCACCUUCAACUGUGGAAAAUUCUGCAAUAGCAGACAUAGCUGGUUUCAUUGCGAAGGCAGUCAAACAACGGAGGACAUGCAGCGCCUGUCCAAGUCUACGCAAAUCAACAUCAGCAUCAACAUUAUUCGCCAAACAAGAGGUGGUUUGGUGUUCCCGAAGCCCGAGUUUGCUGCUGUCCUCGUUAACGUAAAAAAGGCCAUUGAUAUCGCAGUGCCACAUAUUGGCAAGGAUGAUGUGUGCAGAAAGUUGACAGCUUUGAUUUGUUCACACUUAGAGAGCUGCCCUCUUUUUACUUGCCAGGAAAACGAAGAGCAUGCAUCAGUGACUUCUUCAAUAGUUGCAAGCAAACUUAUAAAGCUACUACUGUCAAGCAUUGGCGCAGCCAUUAGACACAGCGGCUUAUAACAAAAAAACUAAUGAAUAAGGCACUGAGCCGGAAAGUUCUGCACGUUUGAAGAGAGCACUACGAGUGCGCAAGGGCUGUGAGUUUGCCAUUAUAAAUAAGUUAUUGUAUGCAUUG